GAGCUUGCUCUCUGAUGGCGAGUGGCGAACGGGUGAGUAAUAUAUCGGAACGUACCUAGUAAUGGGGAACAACCAAUCGAAAGGUUGGCUAAUACCGCAUACGACCUACGGGUGAAAGCAGGGGAUCUUCGGACCUUGCGUUAUUAGAGCGGCCGAUAUCUGAUUAGGUAGUUGGUGGGGUAAAGGCCUACCAAGCCGACGAUCAGUAGCUGGUCUGAGAGGACGAUCAGCCACACUGGAACUGAGACACGGUCCAGACUCCUACGGGAGGCAGCAGUGGGGAAUUUUGGACAAUGGGGGCAACCCUGAUCCAGCCAUUCCGCGUGAGUGAAGAAGGCCUUCGGGUUGUAAAGCUCUUUCGCAAGAGAAGAAAUCUUACUAUCGAAUAAAUAGUAAGGAUGACGGUAUCUUGACAAGAAGCACCGGCUAACUACGUGCCAGCAGCCGCGGUAAUACGUAGGGUGCGAGCGUUAAUCGGAAUUACUGGGCGUAAAGCGUGCGCAGGCGGUUUUAUAAGUCAGAUGUGAAAUCCCCGAGCUCAACUUGGGAACUGCGUUUGAAACUGUAAGACUAGAGUGUGUCAGAGGGGGGUAGAAUUCCACGUGUAGCAGUGAAAUGCGUAGAUAUGUGGAGGAAUACCAAUGGCGAAGGCAGCCCCCUGGGAUAACACUGACGCUCAUGCACGAAAGCGUGGGGAGCAAACAGGAUUAGAUACCCUGGUAGUCCACGCCCUAAACGAUGUCUACUAGUUGUUGGUGGAGUAAAAUCCAUGAGUAACGCAGCUAACGCGUGAAGUAGACCGCCUGGGGAGUACGGUCGCAAGAUUAAAACUCAAAGGAAUUGACGGGGCCCCGCACAAGCAGCGGAGCAUGCGGCUUAAUUCGACGCAACGCGAAGAACCUUACCAAGGCUUGACAUAUACAGGAAUAUGGCAGAGAUGUCAUAGCCGCAAGGUCUGUAUACAGGUGGUGCAUGGUUGUCGUCAGCUCGUGUCGUGAGAUGUUGGGUUAAGUCCCGCAACGAGCGCAACCCUCGUUCUGUGUUGCCAGCAUUUAGUUGGGGACUCACAGGAGACUGCCGGGGUUAACUCGGAGGAAGGUGGGGAUGACGUCAAAUCAUCAUGCCCCUUAUGUCUUGGGCUGCACGCAUGCUACAAUGGCUGGUACAAACGGCUGCAAUACCGCAAGGUGGAGCGAAUCCGAGAAAGCCAGUCUCAGUUCGGAUUGGGGUCUGCAACUCGACCCCAUGAAGUCGGAGUUGCUAGUAAUCGUAGAUCAGCAACGCUACGGUGAAUACGUUCCCGGGGCUUGUACACACCGCCCGUCACAUCACGAAAGUCGGUAACACCCAAAGUCAGUGGCCCAACCGCAAG
rnacentral:rRNA from 1 species